AGCCCAGAGCCUGAAUCAGUGUGUGUGUUAGUGGAAGCGUCUGGAAAGGCGCGCGAUACAGGGUGACAGCCCCGUACACAAAAAUGCACAUACUGUGAGCUCGAUGAGUAGGGCGGGACACGUGGUAUCCUGUCUGAAUAUGGGGGGACCAUCCUCCAAGGCUAAAUACUCCUGACUGACCGAUAGUGAACCAGUACCGUGAGGGAAAGGCGAAAAGAACCCCGGCGAGGGGAGUGAAAAAGAACCUGAAACCGUGUACGUACAAGCAGUGGGAGCCUCUUAAUGGGGUGACUGCGUACCUUUUGUAUAAUGGGUCAGCGACUUAUAUUCUGUAGCAAGGUUAACCGAAUAGGGGAGCCGAAGGGAAACCGAGUCUUAACUGGGCGUUAAGUUGCAGGGUAUAGACCCGAAACCCGGUGAUCUAGCCAUGGGCAGGUUGAAGGUUGGGUAACACUAACUGGAGGACCGAACCGACUAAUGUUGAAAAAUUAGCGGAUGACUUGUGGCUGGGGGUGAAAGGCCAAUCAAACCGGGAGAUAGCUGGUUCUCCCCGAAAGCUAUUUAGGUAGCGCCUCGUGAAUUCAUCUCCGGGGGUAGAGCACUGUUUCGGCAAGGGGGUCAUCCCGACUUACCAACCCGAUGCAAACUGCGAAUACCGGAGAAUGUUAUCACGGGAGACACACGGCGGGUGCUAACGUCCGUCGUGAAGAGGGAAACAACCCAGACCGCCAGCUAAGGUCCCAAAGUCAUGGUUAAGUGGGAAACGAUGUGGGAAGGCCCAGACAGCCAGGAUGUUGGCUUAGAAGCAGCCAUCAUUUAAAGAAAGCGUAAUAGCUCACUGGUCGAGUCGGCCUGCGCGGAAGAUGUAACGGGGCUAAACCAUGCACCGAAGCUGCGGCAGCGACACUUAUGUGUUGUUGGGUAGGGGAGCGUUCUGUAAGCCUGUGAAGGUGUACUGUGAGGUAUGCUGGAGGUAUCAGAAGUGCGAAUGCUGACAUAAGUAACGAUAAAGCGGGUGAAAAGCCCGCUCGCCGGAAGACCAAGGGUUCCUGUCCAACGUUAAUCGGGGCAGGGUGAGUCGACCCCUAAGGCGAGGCCGAAAGGCGUAGUCGAUGGGAAACAGGUUAAUAUUCCUGUACUUGGUGUUACUGCGAAGGGGGGACGGAGAAGGCUAUGUUGGCCGGGCGACGGUUGUCCCGGUUUAAGCGUGUAGGCUGGUUUUCCAGGCAAAUCCGGAAAAUCAAGGCUGAGGCGUGAUGACGAGGCACUACGGUGCUGAAGCAACAAAUGCCCUGCUUCCAGGAAAAGCCUCUAAGCAUCAGGUAACAUCAAAUCGUACCCCAAACCGACACAGGUGGUCAGGUAGAGAAUACCAAGGCGCUUGAGAGAACUCGGGUGAAGGAACUAGGCAAAAUGGUGCCGUAACUUCGGGAGAAGGCACGCUGAUAUGUAGGUGAAGCGACUUGCUCGUGGAGCUGAAAUCAGUCGAAGAUACCAGCUGGCUGCAACUGUUUAUUAAAAACACAGCACUGUGCAAACACGAAAGU
rnacentral:rRNA from 1 species